CCUACGGGAGGCAGCAGUGGGGAAUAUUGGACAAUGGGGGGAACCCUGAUCCAGCCAUGCCGCGUGUGUGAAGAAGGCCCUCGGGUUGUAAAGCACUUUCAGUGAGGAAGAACGCCUGGUGGUUAAUACCCAUCAGGAAAGACAUCACUCACAGAAGAAGCACCGGCUAACUCCGUGCCAGCAGCCGCGGUAAUACGGAGGGUGCGAGCGUUAAUCGGAAUUACUGGGCGUAAAGCGCGCGUAGGUGGCUUGAUAAGCCGGUUGUGAAAGCCCCGGGCUCAACCUGGGAACGGCAUCCGGAACUGUCAAGCUAGAGUGCAGGAGAGGAAGGUAGAAUUCCCGGUGUAGCGGUGAAAUGCGUAGAGAUAGGGAGGAAUACCAGUGGCGAAGGCGGCCUUCUGGACUGACACUGACACUGAGGUGCGAAAGCGUGGGUAGCAAACAGGAUUAGAUACCCCUGUAGUC
rnacentral:rRNA from 1 species